rnacentral:rRNA from 25 species
GUGGACGCCAGUCUGCAUGGAGCCGACCUUGAAAUACCACCCUUUAAUGUUUGAUGUUCUAACGUGGACCCGUAAUCCGGGUUGCGGACAGUGUCUGGUGGGUAGUUUGACUGGGGCGGUCUCCUCCUAAAGAGUAACGGAGGAGCACGAAGGUUGGCUAAUCCUGGUCGGACAUCAGGAGGUUAGUGCAAUGGCAUAAGCCAGCUUGACUGCGAGCGUGACGGCGCGAGCAGGUGCGAAAGCAGGUCAUAGUGAUCCGGUGGUUCUGAAUGGAAGGGCCAUCGCUCAACGGAUAAAAGGUACUCCGGGGAUAACAGGCUGAUACCGCCCAAGAGUUCAUAUCGACGGCGGUGUUUGGCACCUCGAUGUCGGCUCAUCACAUCCUGGGGCUGAAGUAGGUCCCAAGGGUAUGGCUGUUCGCCAUUUAAAGUGGUACGCGAGCUGGGUUUAGAACGUCGUGAGACAGUUCGGUCCCUAUCUGCCGUGGGCGCUGGAGAACUGAGGGGGGCUGCUCCUAGUACGAGAGGACCGGAGUGGACGCAUCACUGGUGUUCGGGUUGUCAUGCCAAUGGCACUGCCCGGUAGCUAAAUGCGGAAGAGAUAAGUGCUGAAAGCAUCUAAGCACGAAACUUGCCCCGA